ACUCCACCAUCCGGCCGGACAAAAACCGGAGCAGAAUCUACAAACAGGAUGAACACCGGGACAGAACAACCAGCACUACUUUAUCAACAGCAGCAGCAGUAAACAUUACUCUGGCGGAAGAAAAUACCAUCAGUCUGCCAGUUCCUCAGCGACGGUUACAUCCAGACACCAUGCAGCCACCACCGAUCGUACCGCCUAUGCAACCAGAGGCAACAGCAGCAUAACCAAAUCCAACAUCGAACAUCCGCUGGAAGCGUUCCAUCGCAGCACUACCUGCUUUCCGGUGGAAGAGACCAUCAACGCAGCAGCAUCUUCCUUUUCAUCUUCACCACAAGAAGUGAACCAGCUCAGCAGCAGCCGCGGCCGCGGAAUCAGCAUUUCUUCUCCCAAAACAGAACCGUACCAGGCGGCGAAAGUGGCUCAGGCGGGUUACAAUGGAACAGAGUGGAAUUGAUGUUGGUUCUAGUGUUUUCAUUAUGAUCUAAUCUGUCCAACCCAUGAGUGAACUGAUGCAACAGCCUACCUCAUGCUGGAAAAGGACGAUCAACCUUUUAAUAUCCGAGGUGGAGACGACGAGGUGGAACAUUUGUUUUUAUCACGGCGGAACCAGAGGAGUCAGCGUUGGAAACAGCAACUAAUGAGUCAGCAUCUUCACAAUUCGGAAUUACAUCCAUGACCCAGGUUCCAAUCAUGAGGGCCUCGGAGGUAAAAAACACAUUCUGAAAGCAUACAUCUGGUUCUCGAAACUGACGGAAUUCAGCGAAGAGUUGUUAUCCGUAACGAUGUUAAGAUAUUCUUAU